UACGGGGGAUGCAAGCGUUAUCCGGAUUUAUUGGGUUUAAAGGGUGCGUAGGCGGUCAGGUAAGUCAGCGGUGAAAUUUAGGGGCUCAACCUCUACCGUGCCGUUGAUACUGUCUGACUAGAAUGCGGAUGCCGUGGGAGGAAUGUGUGGUGUAGCGGUGAAAUGCAUAGAUAUCACACAGAACACCGAUUGCGAAGGCAUCUCACGAAUCCGCAAUUGACGCUGAGGCACGAAAGCGUGGGGAUCAAACAGG
rnacentral:misc_RNA from 1 species